rfam:Gorilla gorilla gorilla genomic chromosome, chr7, whole genome shotgun sequence
GCCAGGCAUGGUGGCGUGUGCCUAUAAUCCUAGCUACUGGGAGGGCUGAGGCAAGAGGAUUGCUUGAUCCCAGGAGUUCGAGGCUGCAGUGAGCUAUGAUCAUGCCACUGCACUCCAGCCUGGGCAACAGAGCAAGACCUUAUCUCUU